GGGGCCUUAGCUCAGCUGGGAGAGCGCCUGCAUGGCAUGCAGGAGGUCAGGGGUUCGAUCCCCCUAGGCUCCACCA
rnacentral:tRNA from 26 species